AGACUCCCUUCCAAUUCCCUCCCACCCCAGAGGGCUUUAGACAUGAAGAGAAAGCUCAAGUGGCAGAAAGGCUCUGUGUUCCGGAGGUUGCAGAGAACUUGAAUUGCAAUUCAGCUUUUCAGCACUGUGCCUCAGGGGCCCUGAAGCAGUUGCAUACUAAGCUUCUGUGAGCGUCACCGGAGGCCAUGCUGACGUCCACACAUGGCAGCGUCCACGCCAGCCACUUCCACCAGCAUGACCCUCCUCAGCAGCCGGCCAGCAGCGAGCCCUGGAGGCAGGGGCCAGGGCAGCUUGUCACUGGACACUUGGGUUUGGCAGGUAAGCAGGAAAGUAAUUUUCCCUCUUGAGGCUGAACUGUGACUUUGGGAGAUGUUAAUGGUCACAACUUCUACCAUGUGAUCAAGAGAAAGAGAAGAAACGAGAGCAGCGAGGGAAAGAGGCCGACAUUCAGAAACAGAGUAGAUGGAAGACAGAGCUCUGCUGAGCCUGAAGUUCCUCUGCCAGGUCUUCGGAGAUCCUAGCGCUCUCGUCCUUCAGUCUGCAAAACAUCCCUGCAUUACUUUGAAGUAUUAUUGAUGGAGUGUUUCCCUUAAGUUAAUUUGAAUGAAUCUUAAGUCAGACCAACUGGUAAAAGUGGAACUAAGGAUUCACUGUGUUGGAUUGUAACUUAAGCUUUUGAUAUUUCCUAUAACUAUCUUGGGAUUUUUCUUAAUGAACUAUUUAGAUGGUAGGUAUUAAAUAUGGAUUUCCAU
rnacentral:lncRNA from 1 species